UCCCGCGUAGCUCAAUCGGCAGAGCGUCCGGCUGUUAACCGGUAGGUUGGAGGUUCGAGUCCUCCCGCGGGAG
rnacentral:tRNA from 1 species